rnacentral:rRNA from 1 species
UACGUAGGGGGCAAGCGUUGUCCGGAAUCAUUGGGCGUAAAGCGCGUGUAGGCGGCCCGGUAAGUCCGCUGUGAAAGUCGGGGGCUCAACCCUCGAAUGCCGGUGGAUACUGUCGGGCUAGAGUGCGGAAGAGGCGAGUGGAAUUCCGUGGUGAUAGCGGUGAAAUGCGUAGAUAUGCGGAGGAACACCGAUGGCGAAGGCAAUCCCCUGGGCCUGCACUGACGCUCGAUGCACGAAAGCGUGGGGAGCAAACAGG